AUACGUAGGUCCCAAGCGUUGCGCGAUCUCACUGGGCGUAAAGCGUCCCCAGCCGGUCCGGUAAGCGGAUUGUCAAAACCCGCGGCUCAACCGCGGUAGGGCAACCCGAACUGCCGGACUUGAGGCAAGCCCAGGCAGGCGGAAUUCCCGGUGUAGCGGUGAAAUGCGUAGAUAUCCGGAGGAACACCAAAGGGGAAGCCAGCCCGCUGGGGCUGCCCUGACGGUCACGGACGAAAGCUGGGGGAGCAAACCGGAUUAGAUACCCUAGUAGUCC
rnacentral:rRNA from 1 species